rnacentral:rRNA from 1 species
GGCUCAGGAUGAACGCUAGCGGCAGGCUUAACACAUGCAAGUCGAGGGGUAUAGUUCUUCGGAAUUAGAGACCGGCGCACGGGUGCGUAACGCGUAUGCAAUCUACCUUUCACAGAGGGAUAGCCCAGAGAAAUUUGGAUUAAUACCUCAUAGUAUAGCAGUUUCGCAUGAAACCACUAUUAAAGUCACAACGGCAAAAGAUGAGCAUGCGUCCCAUUAGCUAGUUGGUAAGGUAACGGCUUACCAAGGCUACGAUGGGUAGGGGUCCUGAGAGGGAGAUCCCCCACACUGGUACUGAGACACGGACCAGACUCCUACGGGAGGCAGCAGUGAGGAAUAUUGGACAAUGGGCGCAAGCCUGAUCCAGCAAUGCCGCGUGCAGGAUGAAGGCCUUCGGGUUGUAAACUGCUUUUGUACGGAACGAAACGGUGAGCUCUAAUACAGUUUGCUAAUGACGGUACCGUAAGAAUAAGCACCGGCUAACUACGUG